UACGUAGGUGGCAAGCGUUGUCCGGAUUUAUUGGGUUUAAAGGGUGCGUAGGCGGCCCCUGUAAGUCAGUGCUGAAAUACCCCGGCUUAACCGGGGGGUGGCAUUGAUACUGCAGGGCUUGAGUACAGAUGAGGUAGGCGGAAUUGACGGUGUAGCGGUGAAAUGCAUAGAUAUCGUCAAGAACACCGAUAGCGAAGGCAGCUUACUGGGCUGUAACUGACGCUGAUGCACGAAAGUGUGGGGAUCAAACAGG
rnacentral:rRNA from 1 species